GAUUGUUUGUCUGUUCAGGAGUAUGUCUGUGGCUUCCAAGAAAGCCAGCAGGGAUGCAACGUGUAUAUCUAUGGGGAAGAAUCCCAUCCCGGUAGUCCAUGUUGAAUGCUGAUGCAAGACACAAGCAUCUGACUUUCCUAAUACAUUUGAAAGGGCUAGGCAGUGCGAUGGUCGUGAUGUGCAAGCCAGCAAAGCCAUUGCCUCUUGUGGGUCAUGUCUAACAGCCUUGGUGACCAGAUGUUGCAUCCCUGCAAAUCUGAUGAGCCCUUUUCUGGUCUGGAUACUAUGGAAGUAUAUUGAAAUAUAUAUUGAAUAUAUGAAUUAAAAAUAAACAAAUAAUGGUAGAUGGGAGAUUUAUAACCACUUUCUACUGAAAUUAUCACAUUGCUAUAAAUUUGCCUUAUUUAAACUAGCUCAAUAAUAAUGCGGUACAGUGGAUGCUUCCAAACUGUAAGCAGUGACAUAGCUGAAGUAACGAUGUGGUGUUUUUUUUUUUCCCAUGAAUUUAAGAAUGCUGUGCUGUCUUUUUACUAGAGUUCAAAUUAGACAACCUAUGAAACUGCUCAGUGCUCCUACAUUGUGUGCUAGAAAGCAGUAUGCAUUUAAAAAAAAGAGUUUUUUUCUCUCAGUCAAUCUGUUCAGUCAGAGGCAGAUAAACCCUUCAGAUUAUUUAACCCUUUCAAGAGCUUUGUAGAUUGUCACGAUCACUGUUACUUAACAAACUGCCUAAAUUCACACCUUCUUGUGGAAAUAGAUACCUACUUUGGACAGACCUGGUGGCUGCUGGGUCGUUCACUGUAGAAGGAAGCUGCAAAAUUUCUGCAUAAACUUUCUUUUCUUUUCCUUCAACUUGUAUUUAUUUAACUGACACAAACCUCAGUGACACCUUGAAUAAGCUUUAAGCAAUUGUACCUUGCUUUGCAUUGCAGUGGCCUGGAAACAUCACAUGGCUGUGACUCAGCAGAGGACCUUUUUCUGGAGAGGCGCUCCAUCUGAGGAAAUGACCCAUCUGAUUAGGCCAAAUGGCAAGCAUGAAAACUGGUAUGCAGACACUGCAAAGCACUUUCCUGGAAUUAUGAUUGUAGUGAUGCUGUGUUUUACCACCAAACACAUGACCUUCUCGGCUGGACCCCAGGCACCUCAUGCCAGUUACCAUGAUUCUGAUGAGGUGCCAGCACCCUGCGCAAGCUGGAAGCUGUGGUGCAGAUGUGGAUGCAAUAGUUCCUGGGAUAGACAAGGGCAUCUCAUCAGCUGCUACCGCUCAGGGCUGUUCAUGCAGGAAGGGGUGGUGAUGCUUUGCCAGCUGGUGCUGGGCUCUUUGGACAGUGACACAGUAAAAACACCCAUGUUACCUCCCACGGGCUGUGAGUGAAGUUUGGCUGAUUCUCAGUGGCAUCGACAUUUCUCAGCAAACUGUGCUCCUAAAUGUGAAGUGGUCUCCUGAACCUUCUCUGGGCUUAAGAUUUCUGCUGCUUCCAGAAACACUGCCUCAAAAAUGCCUUGCAGAUGCUUCAUGAGUAUUUCAGAUGACAGAAUUAUCAACAUCAUUUUAUUUCCCUUCUGUAUUGGGCUUUGUCAUGCAAGGAACUCUGCCAGCACGGAGAUAGGCCGCAUCCUUGCCUUGCAAUUUGGUUGCAAAAACAUGGUAUUGAGUGAUCUGGGCCCAGCGUGCCCCAUCAGCCCUCGUUCUGGCCAAGCUCCAGGUGGAUGCCUGCCCUUGGCUGCUACUCCCACGUGUCCGCCUGAGUGGGUGGAGGAAUGACUCAGACAAAAUUUGACUGACUGGGAGAAACCUGGUGUGGGGGUGAUUUAAGGCACGGACUGAGGGGUGUCUCUUGUGGGCAGAUGUGGUAAACAGUUUUGUGAGAAUGCUCUUUCACCAGCUUGAUAAUGUCCUGGCUAGCAUUCAGUAUUCACUGACCUCAUUGUUUGUUACUUGAGGUUAGUCUUGAUUUUGGAAAAAGUUUGUGAAAAAGAAGGUAGCUCUUCUUCCUAGCGCUGUACAGGAAAAAACAGAUCCUCCACUGGCAGAAGUCAGCAUGAGUCCAUUGUCCUAAAUUAUUGUUAUGGCCUGAUACAUCUGAGAUAUGAAAUAAGAAUGUUUUUGUUGGUAAAUGGAAAAUGUUAAAGUCAGUGGCAGAAGUCCUGUUUAAAAAAAAGAGAAAGCACAACAAAAAAAACCCAAAACACAUGUUCCAAUUUACAGGUCAGUUGAUACCCUCCCCUGAGGCUGCCUUAAUUUCUAGUUUGGGCAUGUCAAUAAAUCAAUGCCACAAGCCA
rnacentral:lncRNA from 1 species